ensembl:processed_transcript predicted gene 15545
GGUCUUGGAUGUUUUCUGGAGGAACUGGGGCGCGUGGGCGCGUUAAGUUAUAGGGAAAACCCCAAUUCCUGAGACGUGGAUGAGGGCGCAUUCUAGUCUGUGAUUCCGAAACCAGCCAUGAUUCGCUGUGAGCUCCCCACCCCUGUGCUGGAAGGCGCCAAGUUCUGAACACCUGUGGCCUCCUCGUGGCCUCCAGGUCCUCUGCGGGAAACACCCAGCGUCCUUUGUCUGACCAACCCCUUACACGUCAAUCACCGGCAAUUCGGACGCCACCUCUUCCAGGAAAUUUCCCUGGAUCUGCAGAAAGUUACUCCUUCUCUGAGGAUGGAUGUCAGUUGCUGGAUUCGUGAACCUUCCCUUUGCCUUCAGUCCCACCAGUCUAUGGUCCAAACAUAAGAUCCUUUAAACUCCCGUAUGAGCCCUCCAGUGGGAGCUUCCGCAUAAGGUCCCACUGCUUGUUGAUGGCCCAUGAAGGACACUGGUGUUAAGUCCUGCUGCGGUGAGGCAUCAAGGCUCUUGUAAAGAUGCUCUGAUGUUUACUGGAGCCCUGGAACCAUACCCAGCAUCAAAACAAAGCAGCGCCAGCAUCUGCCCCCUAUUCCACAACUGUCCUCUCCAUAGCGUGGAGUAGAGGCUGGUCACCUUUUGGUUGAUGACUUCUGCCUCUUCCUCCAGCAAGGCUACCAGCCGCCUUAGCAGGGCUUCCUUCUCCGUGGGUGGGGGUCCCUGGAACUCUGGGGGUGGGGGGCAGAAGAGAAUUGGACUGGGAAGGGCCCUGGCUUUGCUCCUACCAUCACCCCUCACCAGGGCUCCUCUGCUACUUACCUGAACUGGGCGGAGACUUCAGUUGCUCCUGCACCAAUUGUUCCAGCCGCUGGGCAACCAGGGCAUAGAAAUCUGAAGAGGCUGGGCCUGAGCAGAAAGAAUCAGCGACGCUUUCUGUUUACAGAACAGGGUAUUUAUGGAGUCUCUCCUAACCAUCUUGCCACACAGCAACAAUUUCCACUUCACAAAAGGAUAUACCUCGGCCAUGAGACUUUGGUAAAUAAAAGAUGUUAAA